rnacentral:piRNA from 1 species
UUCACGAAAAGUUUUGGAGAA